rnacentral:rRNA from 1 species
GUCCACACAGUAAACGAUGAAUACUCGCUGUUUGCGAUAUACAGUAAGCGGCCAAGCGAAAGCAUUAAGUAUUCCACCUGGGGAGUACGCCGGCAACGGUGAAAACUCAAAAGGAAUUGACGGGGGGCCCCGCACAAGCGGAGGAACAUGUGGUUUAAUUCGAUGAUACGCGAGGAACCUUACCCGGGCUUAAAAUUGCAAAUGAAUAUGUAGGAAACUAUAUAGCCGCAAGGCAUUUGUGAAGGUGCUGCAUGGUUGUCGU